rnacentral:rRNA from 1 species
CCUACGGGUGGCUGCAGUGAGGAAUAUUGGUCAAUGGGCGCUAGCCUGAACCAGCCAAGUAGCGUGAAGGAUGACUGCCCUAUGGGUUGUAAACUUCUUUUAUCUGGGAGUAAAGUGCAGUAUGUAUCCUGCUUUGCAUGUCCCUUAUGAAUAAGGAUCGGCUAACUCCGUGCCAGCCGCCGCGGUAAUACUGAGGAUCCGAGCGUUAUCCGGAUUUAUUGGGUUUAAAGGGGGCGUAGGCGGGUUGUUAAGUCAGUUGUGAAAGUUGUGGGCUCAACCGUAAAAUUGCAGUUGAUACUGGGAUCCUAGAGUACAGGAGAGGUAGGCGGAAUUCGUGGUGUAGCGGUGAAAUGCUUAGAUAUCACGAAGAACUCCGAUUGCGAAGGCAGCCUGCUGGACUGUAACUGACGCUGAGGCACGAAAGCGUGGGUAUCAAACAGGAUUAGAUACCCUUGUAGUC